GGCUGGUUAGCUCAGUCACUGGAGCGUGGCGCUUACAACGCCAAGGUCAUGGGUUCAGUUCCCGUUUGGUCU
rnacentral:tRNA from 1 species